GAAUGCUCAGUCGGCAGAGCACGAGACUCUUCCUCUCAGGGCUGUGGGUUCGAGCCCAACGUUCGGCA
rnacentral:tRNA from 1 species